rnacentral:tRNA from 1 species
GAGGGUUUAGCUCUAGUGGUAGAGUGCAUGCCUAGCAUGCACAAGGUCCUAGGUUCAAUUCCCAGUACCUCCA